GGCCUCACGCGAAGUGGAGCGGCCGAUGUCAGUAUUAGCUAGUUGGUGGGUAAAGGCCCACAAGGCGACGAUCUGUAGCGGGUCUGAGAGGAUGAUCCGCCACACUGGGACUGAGACACGGCCCAGACUCCUACGGGAGGCAGCAGUGGGGAACUUUGGACAAUGGGCGCAAGCCUGAUCCAGCCAUGCCGCGUGCGGGACGAAGGCCUUCGGGUUGUAAACCGCUUUCAGCCGGAAAGAAAUCGCCGUUUUAAUACAGACGGUGGAUGACGGUACCGGAAGAAGAAGCACCGGCUAACUACGUG
rnacentral:rRNA from 1 species